rnacentral:misc_RNA from 1 species
AACGCAUAUUGCGCUCAAGGCCUUUGGCCGAGAGCAUGUCUGCCUCAGCGUCGGGUUAAUACUCGCCUCCUCUAUUCAUAUUGAAUGGAAUGGGCGGAUCUGGCCGUUCCAGUGAUCUUAUGAGAGCUGGAUCAGCCGAAGAACAGAGGCUAACCAAGGACCCGUCAAGGGCCGCAACUGGGUGGGCAGCUCACGCUUGCUAAAUCAUCUUAGUUGUUGGUCUGGGACUUGAUUGUUCGGCCCAAAACAGGAACCCUUCUUAUUUUCUCGACCUGAGCUCAGGCAAGAACACCCGCUGAACUUAA